rnacentral:rRNA from 1 species
UAAGACAGAGGGUGCAAACGUUGUUCGGAAUUACUGGGCGUAAAGCGCGUGUAGGCGGCUGUGCAAGUCGGAUGUGAAAGCCCUUGGCUCAACUGAGGAAGAGCAUUCGAAACUGCGCAGCUUGAGUUCUGGAGAGGAUGGUGGAAUUCUCGGUGUAGAGGUGAAAUUCGUAGAUAUCGAGAGGAACACCAGUGGCGAAGGCGGCCAUCUGGACAGAAACUGACGCUGAGACGCGAAAGCGUGGGUAGCAAACAGGAUUAGAUCCCCUGGUAGUCCACGCCGUAAACGAUGGGUGCUAGGUGUCGGGGGCUAUGACCCCCUCGGUGCCGAAGCAAACGCAUUAAGCACCCCGCCUGGGGAGUACGGCCGCAAGGCUAAAACUCAAAUGAAUUGACGG